rnacentral:lncRNA from 1 species
UUCUCCUUAAGAGCUUCCAUUUCAGGUUCCUCCUCUUCAAUUGCUGUUUUUUCAACUUUCUCUUCAACAACUAGCUCUUCAGAUGUAUCUUCAACCGUUGGUUCUUCAGGUUUCUCUUCAAGUGCUAGUUCUUCAGGUGUUUCUAUUGCUGCCGGUUCUUGAGGUUUCUCUUCAGUCUCUGGUUCUUGAGGUUUCUCCUCAGCUGGUACUUCAGAUUUCUCCUCAAAUGUUGGUUUCUCCUCAACUGCUGGUACAUCAGGUUUCUCUUCAAUGACUAGUUCUUCAUUUUUUAUUUCAACUGCCGGUUCUUCAGAAUUUUCCUCAAUGUCUGGAGAGUGAGCAACAUCAUUAUUGGUAUUGCAUGGAAUUUCACUGCCAGUUUUGGUGUUCGAGUCUACAAUUAGCAUAUUCUGCAAAAAGACUUUAAUGUUUCACUUAGCCUUUCAAAAGAAGAGCAUGUGAAUCACUGUACAUGCAUAACUAACAAAAUGGAUAUACUUUGUGAUAGUACUUGACCCUUACCUUUUCCAAAAGAGUUACCUUUUCAGGUUUCUCCUCUUUCAUUGCUGGCUCUUUAUGUAUCUCUUCUAAUGCUAGUUCCUUGGGUGUUUCUUCAGUUACUUGUUUAUCAGGUUUCUCCUCAAUUUUUGGUUCUUUGAUCGUCUCCUCAACUGAUGGUUCUUCAAGCUUUUCUCCCACUGUUGGUGUUUCAGGUUUCUCUUCGAUUGUCGGUUGUUCAGGUAUUUUCUCAACCGGUGGUUCUUCUGGUUUCUCCAAAACCCUUGAUUCUUCAGAUUUCUCUUCAAUAGCUGAUUCUUCAGAUAUCUCUUCAACUUCUGGUUCUUCAGUAUUUUCCUCAACUGAUGCAUAGUCAGCAAUGUCAUUGUUGGUAUUGCAUGGAAUUGCAUUGUCUGUUGUGUUCUUUGAGUUUACAAUUGGCAA